GCACCGGGGGCUCGGUGGUUGAGCAGGGGAUUGCAGUAUCACAUGUGAUCAACUAUCCCAAGGCCAUGGGUUCAAAUCCCAUUCGGUGCU